GGUCUUCAUUUCUGAAGCCUCCUGUGUCACAUAAAACUUUGAUUAAAUACAUUUGUCAAGCUUUUCUCUUUUUAACCUAUCCUUUAGUAUGGGAGGGUCAACUAUAGCACUUAUGAUGGGUAAGAAAAGUUAUCACAUCUUUCCUGCCCCUACAGAUUCUGGUACCCAGUGUGGGGUGACUGAAAUGAGCUUGGGACAACUGAUAAAAAAUCAACAACAACAACAGCAGGAACAUUUUUUUUUCAACCAAGGUCAUCUCUCCUGGAUCUCUGCCUAUAGUGCCCAAUUAAAAAUAGAAGGGGAAGAGUAUUCCAGGAAGAGGAAACAGUGAGGUCAAAGAGCCUGAAGCAAACCCAUGCUUAAUAUAGCCACCGAAACAGCAAGGCUGCCACGGGGUUGUAGCAUAGUGAAUGAGGGUCAGGUGGUAAAAGACAAGGUCGGAGAGUUGGCAGAGUCAAGCAGGGCAUGAAGCUCAUGGUGAAGUAUUUGCUUUUUACUGGGAGGGAAAUCUAAUUGGAGAAUUUGGAGUAGAUCUGUGGCACGAUCUGACCACUUUUAAAAACUCUGACUCUUCUAUGGAGUGGAUACUGUUGCUGGGGGUGGGCAAUGGUAAAUGCAAGGAAACCAAUUAG
rnacentral:lncRNA from 1 species